rnacentral:rRNA from 1 species
UGCAGUCGAACGGCAGCAUGGGCUUCGGCCUGAUGGCGAGUGGCGAACGGGUGAGUAAUGCGCCGGAACGUGUCCCGUAAUGGGGGAUAACGCAGCGAAAGCUGUGCUAAUACCGCAUACGCCCCGAGGGGGAAAGCAGGGGAUCUUAGGACCUUGCGUUAUGGGAGCGGCCGACGUCUGAUUAGCUAGUAGGUGGGGUAAAGGCCUACCUAGGCGAUGAUCAGUAGCUGGUCUGAGAGGAUGAUCAGCCACACUGGGACUGAGACACGGCCCAGACUCCUACGGGAGGCAGCAGUGGGGAAUUUUGGACAAUGGGCGCAAGCCUGAUCCAGCCAUUCCGCGUGAGUGAAGAAGGCCUUCGGGUUGUAAAGCUCUUUCGGCAGGGAAGAAAAGGUCUGGGUUAAUAACCUGGACUGCUGACGGUACCUGAAGAAGAAGCACCGGCUAACUACGUGCCA